rnacentral:tRNA from 1 species
GGGGCUAUAGCUCAGGGGUAGAGCAUCUGCCUAGCAUGCAUAAGGCCCUGGGUCCAAUCCUCAGUACCA